GACAUUUAAAACAACCAUACUUAGAAAAGUCCAAACGACAAAAUUAUCACUAUAUGAAGUGUUUACUCACAUGCCAAGCCCCACCAGGUGGUCCUUUACCAAGCACUAUGUGGGGAAUAUAAUUAUGCUGUUCUAGCUUCCAGUGCAAAACAGAUGGGUAGUCAUACCCAAAGUCAGCAUCAGGAUGAAGCAGUGUAUCAAAGAGCACUGCAACUGGGUUUGAAGAGCGUCCCUCAAGGCCUUCGGACAGGUACUCCAGAUCCUGAAGCAUGAAAGUUAAGUAUUAUGUAUUUAUGUAACUUUUACUGUUUGUCAUACUGUUCUGAUGUACAGGCAUUGAAUUUGAUAUGCAGAAAACUUCACCAGUGGAAGUUGCAUUUUAAGUACUUAAUGUAGAAAUACAAUCAAAACAGUUUAGAAAUAACUGCCAUAAUUUACUCCUGUAACUCAGAAUAUAACACACGUGCCUCAUUUGAAAAUUACACACUACUAAUGCAGUAACAGCAGGGCUAGGUGGUAUUUUAAAAACUGGGACAGAUAUCCAAAGAACAGAGUAACUUGGUAACAUUUAUACUUACUGAUAGUGGACUGCUUUCAGCAGAGAAUUGCUAGUAUUUCCAGAAACGUAACUUGAACACAUACCUGAAGUAUGUUAUCAGCGUGUGGUGUUCAACCUUAAACCACCACAAAACUGCACCCAAACAUUCUAGGACAUGAGAGCUGGAAGGCCUGCAUCAGCUCCUCACUGACAAAGUGGUGCUUUAGACGCUUUUGGCAAGCAAUAAAAUCAUUACAAAAGGCAGAUUGUAAAACCCAAAAACGCCACAAACAAAAAGUUCUCUAGAACCACAAAACAAACCACCUUCACAAACACAGCAGUCUUGGAUCAUGAGCCUUAGAUCAUCCAAAUCAACAGAAGAAUGUUAUUACUGCAUUAGAAAUGUGAUUAGUUAAGCAGGCUGUUUCUACAUAUUUUUCUGCAAUCUGCUCUUUUUAAAUUAUUAUUACUUAUUUACUUAUUAAGAUAAGCAGUUCUCAGAAUGUACCAUUUUUCAUCUGGAAGUGCGCUGUAUGGAAUUUGUUAAUGAGCCACCAAAGAAGGUAUGUACUGCCCUUCAUUUUGCAGGUAAGAAGAGCACAGGCCAAGCAGUAAAGCUAGUUCGCUGAGGCCAGCAGCUACUUGAGCUGUACUGUGGUCUCAUUCUUUGCAGGGUAAAAACAUUAAGCCCUUUUUUCCAUCUACAUACUACUUACGUAAGUUACAAAAGCAUUUUAAAUAGGCUCAAUUAAAGGCUACUGUUUCAUAAUCUAGCUUGUGGUAGGAAAAGAGCUGGACAAGACUGCAAAACAAGCUUACCUGAUCUACAAUGGAAAGAUGUCGGGCUUCCUCUAAUUUUGUGUGGAGAAUGGGGUUUGGAUGUACAGCUUCAGGCGACAAAUACGGCCUGUAUCCAGACAGUAGGUAUGAAAGACAAAUCCCUGAAGGUCCAUUUCCUAUUAAAGAUAGAGGAAACAACUUUAGAAACUUCAGGUUACUUCUAUUAAGUAAUUAAAUAAGCAGCAAUGAAGUUACAGGAAAGUGGCAUAAUGCAAUACCAUCCUGAUUCAAAGCAGCUUAUAAUUAUCACAGUAAAAUAACACCUCCCAUAGAACUUCCUCCAGAUAAACCAAGCACAGUUUUUUUUAUCAGGUAAGAAAAAAUGUGUAUAACAAUGAGCACUAUGAAACAAAGCGUACAUAAAGGGAUUUCAUAUUUCAGCAUGUCAAAUUCACUGUUCUCGUGCAAAUGAUCUGAUGGAUAAGAUCUGCUCUACUUGUCAAUCACAGUAAUACCUGAAUAUUUCCAUCUUGCAUUUUUACAUUCACGCUUAUACUAAGUACUGUAAAACACAGAACAGAAACAAGCUUGGGCUAUAGGCUCUUUAGGUCUGAUAAAAGGAAGGAAAAAAGAUGAGCAGAAAGCUGAAAAUGAUUCAGGACAAUGAAAUAUCACACACACAGCGUAACAAAGUAGAUGCUGAGUGAAGACACGCAUAGUACAAAAAACUUGCAUCAAACCACAUUCAGCGUUAUGCUUUAUUGCAACAAUAUCAAUUCAAACAUCUUUUUGUUUUAUGGCUUCUCCCACUGGGACAUUAUUCAGUAUUUUGUCUUUAUUUUCAUCCAGAAUGGCACACACAGCAUUUACUACACACUAUUCAAAUUUGAUGCUGAAGUUACCAAUUUAUUCAUGGUUCUACAUAGCACUCAUUAUUAGGAUGCUAGAUCUUUGUAUUAUUUUAACCCCUGAUCUCAAGAGUUCAUCCUUUGCUUCUUAUUCCUCACUAUCUUUGCACACCUAUUUGUAUCUUCUAUUUCCAAUCUCACUCCUGCAACGCGUGUCUCCUCUUCCCACUUCCCGGUUUUUUAGUCCCCAUGUAUCCCAACAAGUUUGUUCAGACCUUGCCUUUCCUAUUCAUUCUCAGGCCUAGAACCUAAGCAAAUAACCCAGGCCGCACAGAGUGCCUUAAGGGCCCUUAAUGCAGCUUUUGUGUGAGUAUAUGGACACCAAAAAAACGUGUUAAAAUGCUGUGCAUUGUAAGACCAUAAAGAACUGGAGAGAAGGAGAGAAAGCUGUGAGUUUCCACCACAGGCAACUUCUAGAUGAAGUUUACCUUUAUGUAUCUAAAUUUGAAAUAGAUAGCCAACUUCAAACACCACUGCAAAACCCUGUUAUUCGGAUGAAAAUAUAAGACCACACUGUGUUUACAUGUUAACAAUCAAAACCAGUGCACAUGGCAAAGUUUAGCACAGAACGUUCUCUAGAUUUAGAGCUCUACGACAAAAUUUGCCAAUUUUACCUCAUUCAAAUAGAAUUUAACAGUUUCUUCCCAUUUUCUUGAGCAAAACAAGAACAGCAUAGAAAUUACUUAAUAUUACCAGAGUAGUUUUGUACACCCUACAGAACUACAGUACACUGCACAGCACAAGCCUAAGAAUCUGAUCUUAAAUUGGGCAUCAUACAGGGGAGAAAUGGCAUGGUGAAGCUAAAGAGAGGGCAACAGAAGUUGCUAUUCCAUAAUGAAGUCACUAAUGAAAUAUGCCAUAUUUUUACUUUUAAUUAUUAGAAUAGUGCAAUGAAAAGUCAGCACUAGGAAACUUAAAGAUGUUAAACUCCCCUUACAUAGGAAGAGCUCAUACGAUUAGGCCAGUAGCGAUUCUGUUUGUGUACACACAUGUAUGAGGGAAAAACAGUGGUGUUCUUCUGUAACAUUAAAAGAUCAAUUUAGAUCUCUUGUAAGGCUUCUUCAGACAGCCAAUGAAUUAGGGAUAGCAUGCUGCUGAGGGAGAUAAACUUGAGACAUUUCUCAGAUGUAUUUGUGAAAUAACUUGGGGGUAACUUUUCCCCCUCCCAGGGAGAAACAGUCAAAGCAGCUGUGUUUGGUAUCAGCACAGAGAAAGGCAUUCUAGACAAAGCUGUCACCAAAAUACUGGCCAAAGGAAUUCAGAAGCUGUCCUUCAGUUUCAGAGCUGUUGUAAUUUCUAAUUGAGAAGGACAGAUGGAAGAAAACUAAAAAUGAAUCAGUUGUACUGGAGUCAAAACAAUCUUGUCAAAAUGCUUUAUUUGAAGAGCAAUAGAAUUAACAAAAAAAACCAGACUAAAAUAGAUAUGCUUCAUCUAAUCUACAGAAUUUUACUCUCCAGAACAGUUUUCUAACAGCAAAUCCAAGUCCGUUUUCUCCUAGAAGUCUACAGCAAGAUAAUAAAAAGGGACAGAUGGCUCCACAGAGACACAGAUUUCCAAUUCAGUUUAUACAAAGCCAAAGCAUAACCAACAAGCAUUAUUUUGAUCCACCACACAGAAAAGCUCAAUUUUCACUAUCCUGAUCAGAAGAAGAGACAUACCCUGCCUGGCCCACAAACAACACUGAGACCAACCAGAAACGGAGCGAGCAGCUAAGAUACAUCAGCAGCGGCUCACAUACCUUCCUACCUGCUGAACAGCACCAACACAUUCAGGAUCAGGUAGAUGAGAAGCUAAAAGUCAGCAGCAAUGCAAAAAAUUGAGAGAACUGCAAUUCCUGGAGACCCUAGAUGAAGGCCAUGAGGUUUUAACCAUGUUAAGAAAAUCUUUUUACAAACGGAAUUAUCAAACAACAAACUUAAUGCACCAAUCAGGUUAGCUACUGCGUGACAGACUGUUCCCACCACUUUUCAUCUCCUUAAUUUGUCAGCUUUUUCUCCUCAACACCAACCUAGGUUCCUCUCACGGUUCUUCAUGCUCUACAUAUACACCUCUACUAAAAACAUGUUUUAGACUGCUUGCCUCUGAAUUAUUUAUUAGCACCUACUGAAGUCUUUCCAGGUCACUGAAGAAGCAAACAUUUCAUCAGCUUAGCUUAAAAGGCAAUAAAAGCAAUUAAAAACCUGCUUUUAUUAAAUCAUCUUUAAAAUGCUUUGCUCCUCAGUUAAAGAUAUUCCAACCUAUCAGCUCCCUUGGCACUGAGGGGUCUGCUGCACGUUCCCAAAGCCUGACAGAAAGCUGCAGACCAAGCUGCACAGCAGCAACAGCGCUGUCACACAGCCCCGAGACGGUCACUUCUUGGUUAAAAAGGGGAAAAGCUCUUCUGAGAUUGUAUUUACUUCUGGAAGUGAGCACUUUGCAUCUCUAUUUCCUUCACUACAGGAAAAAAAAGUUGGAAUUCAAUGAUUUGGCUGCUGUGCACUGGCUUGUCACGAUAACAGAUGCGCAUUAAGGCACGAACUGCAAGUUGAAGUGAACAGAGAGGAUAUUUAACCACCACACUGCUUUUUUUUUUUAGGCAGGUACAGGUAGGCUCCAUUACCUGCCAGCCUGCACUCCAAGCUCACUACGGCAGCAGCGCUCCGUGCUUUGCAGCUGGACCGGCAGACAGCAGGGGGGUUUGAAUACAACCUCCUCACAGGACGGAAGGCUGAAACAAAAGAAACCACCUGAAAAAAUCUCCCUUGUGCAGAACUGAUCUGUGCAGACCUGCCUGCGCACCACAUGCAGUUCCUCAGCUAUCACGUGCACGAAGCAGAAGCAGCACCGCAUCAGACGCACGUCCUUGCUUGGUAGGAACAGCGCGGCAAAGCUCGGUAUGUGUAGUACCAACUUGACACUGCAAUAUUCUUGAAAAUCCUGUGGGCCCACAGGAUGGAAGCAUCAGAGCAUGGGACUGGUAUCUCAGUGGAACAUGAGACACAUGACCUGUAACAAGAAGGCUUUGUCCUCUGUGCAACAGCAGCCAGAUCAGUGAGUAACUGAAGAAGGCAACCUGCUGAUUGUAACACAGCAUGGGAAACAACAUGUUGGUAAGAUUUCUGUGUCUCCACCCACUGCAGUAUGAGAUUUAAGUAUAAAUUGAGUAGAAAAUAGAGUUGUAAAGCUUCAAAUGUCACUACAGGUGUAUGAUCAACUCUGUCCUGAUAAAGAAUGCAGUAUCUCAGUGCAGAGCUUACUCGGGACAGAUGUCUCACUGAUAACAAACUUGUUCCCUGUAACAUCAAAUGACUGAAAAAUGUAUGAACUGCAAGGUCCAGUAAGCUACUGCAUAGUGAAACAUUUUCAGAGACAAGCAAACAAGUUUUGCUGCAAGUCUAUAGCAAACUUUCUACUCAAGCUGAUACACCAAGUGCGGAAUAAAGUUUUGGAGGGAUUGGGAAGGCUUCAGGUUAUUUGCUUUUACUACUAUUAAGCAAGAUAGCAACAGAAAUUUAGCUGUAAGACAAGUCCCUGCAUGGCCAAGGAAAAAUAAAAAGGAGUCUCAAUCAAGAAGCUAUGUUGCAAAUAGGACAGAUCCUUCCAAAAAAGCUAGAUACUUAAUAAGAGGGACAAAUACAAGAUAUGGAGCUUAAAGGAGCAGGUCUGUCAGCUUCCUGGGAUCUUUUCGUAGCCUGGUUUUCUUCAAAAGUUUUUCAGUGCUCAUAAAGUAGUACUUGCUUGGAGAAUACGGAUGCAGUAAGUUCUGUGUCAAAGAAUUAAUAACAUAAAGGAAAUGACAUGAGUGUCUUUAAUGACUUUUUUUUUUUUUUUUUUUUUUGGAGAGAAAUUUGCCUGAAUAUCUCAAAAGGGUAUUAUUCUGGGAUAUGUCAGGAUAUGAGAAUUCUGAUGGUGAAAGGUCAAAACUCUCAGCCAGGGGUAGACUACUUAGCUGUGACAGCAUCAUGUGCACAUUGAAGAGUAUUUCAUAAUUAUAAAAUAAUUAUUUCAUAAUUAUAAAAAGCAGCAUUGGACUGCUUUGGAAGAUGAACAGUGUCAGAUUGGAGAAAGCCUGGAACAUCGUGACAUGACAGGCCUAAAUGAUCUCUGGAAAGUGGAACACUUGGAAGAGGUUAACCACGCAGGGUUUGUUGGUGACAUCAGUCUUGUAGAUAUUUAGGAUGAGAGCUUAUAGAUUCAAACCUCCAUGCUAGCAGUUAACUUCUUCUUCUGUGUAUUUUUGGAAAAAAACAAGAUAAUCUUUUGGAAGAGAAUUCUAAGUAGGCAUUAUUAGAUAGUAGCAAAGUAAUUAUGGGUUUUGCUAUUUUAGAAGAAAUAGGAGUGUUGCAGUCUUUUCCAAGCUGCUUCACUGUUAGGGAGUUUGCUGAAACCAGCUUCCUAAGGCAUGAAUGCUUGAACAAACCUACUAGUAGAAAAACUUGUAAAAACUUGGUAAAUUAGGAAAAAAAAAAUCAGAUUACAUGCACUUAAGCAGAAGGAUGAACAAAAAUGCAAAAAAAAAAAAAAAAGCACUUAAUUAUGAAGAUAAUGUCAGAUUUUCCAGUUACAGAUGGUACAACUUAUUUAGUCUCCUGCAAAGACUCAGGUGGCAGCUAUUGCCUUGUGUUCACAGCCACGGCUGACAUGCGUGGCCAGCUGCCUGCAGUUCUACCCAGCACUGCAGAUGAGCCACUCUGGGCUACCAAAUCACCCACAGUCUCAGGAAGAUGGAUGUUCUUUAUCAUCUUUCAGUCUUCGGAGGAAUUUGUUAAUGGCUUUGCGACAAUGGUUCAUCUCAGAUAUGGUUUAAAGAUGACAUCGUUAGGAGGAGGAAUAGCCAGAAGGGUUUUGGUUGCCAUUUGGUGAGUCUGGGAAGGAGCUAGAUGCCAAAAAGAGUUGUAGAAAGGAGCAGGCAUCAUCCAGACUAGUGAGAAGUGGUAGGACUAGAACUUAAAGGCUUUGAGAACUGUAGAACUUAUGAUUAAAAGAAAUGCAUGGAAGUAAGCAUCUUGAAAGGCGUGCAACAAGUUUUAUGGCAUAUCUCUAACUAAGGCAAAAUAUUGAAAAUUGCCAUAGAUUUGUUUACAAGAGUAUAUUUGUAUGUGUGGGAAUCUCUGACCGAGGACAUGCCCUAUGGCAUGUUCUAGACCUGUUCUGUGCAGUGUAUCAAUUUAAUCCCUGAGGCAACUGUUUCAGCAUUAGAACAAAUAAACCAAGGUUGUAUUGCAUUUUGGAUUCAUGAACUGCUCUGGUUGUCGUGUACCAAAUUAUUUGUGGUAAAGUAAUAGAAGUAAGAGUAAGUAUCCUGGGAAGUAAAGGUUGUGUCUUGCCAUGUCUCUAAUGGAUGUGUAUGUUUAACUAGCACAUUAUCUAGUACAUUUAAUCCUUUGUGAAUAUGAGGUUUUAUUUAGGAAUUUUUCUGUUUCUCAGCAAAACUGUUGACUGCUCCCUAUAAUAAUAAAUAGACUGUUGAUAAAAUAUGCCACUGGUAUUUUGUAAAUAUAAUUAGUCUGGAAGUUCUGUUUCUUUUUGCAGUUCUACAGUUGUCUGUUGUGACCUUCUCCUCAUAGUAACAAACAUGAAAAAUACGCUUGGAAUGUACGUGAAAGUUAUUUUCGAUUGCUCUACAAAAGCCAUUGACAGUUUGUUGCAUACUGUUGCAUCUUUUUUAUUUAUUUGACCAGGACCAGGCCAAAUGUAUGUUCUAAGCCUAAAGUAUAAUCAGUUACCAGUUCAUACCUUUGUUCUUGUAUGACCCUGUUUGUCCUUUGUGUUUGUUAUAUGAGCUAUCAUACCUGCAUAUAUAUGAUUUAUGUUUUUAAUAGUUCUGACAUAAAACUAGGCCUAGUUGGCUGAAGAAGAGUUCAUAGAAAAUAUUCAAUACAUGGAUUCUUGUGCUAAUACGAGUGCACUGUUUCUGUCCAAGCAGUCAGGCAGCUCUGAAUCUUUCCUGGAUGUGGCUGUAAAUUUAAAUGCUUUUGAUAACAAGCACAAAGUGUGCUUGCUGUUUGUUUUCUGUUUGUAAGAAAAAAGAAUAGAGCCUUUUCAGUGUUUACCUACACAGAUGAACAUCUGCCCUUCCAGUUUUAGAUUAUUUUUGUUUUACAUUAAGGAAAAAUAGCAAUGACCAAACAUUCUGCACACACACACACAAAAUUCAGACACUUCAUAUAGCUCAUCUGAAAUACAAAAUGCUGUGGUGCAGGAGCAGGUUUGGAAACAUCAAAGUGGAAAUGACUGUGGGUCCGUGUUAUUUAAAACUUGGACCAGUGACUUGCUUUGAAUCAUGUUGCUAUCAAACGAUCUUUAAAACAUGUUUGCAAUUAUGCCAAAAUUGUGAAGUUCCUAGGUCACUUUAGCAAGGUGAAAGUCUUCUUGAGGUAUCACUCCCUUGAGAAGUUUGCAUUAGUAAUUUUCAGGUAGGCAUUAUGGAGAAUAUAUAUUUGCUCCGCAUUAGAUUAAGAGUCCUUAAGAUUAGAUGAAGAGUCCUUCAUCUCUGUGGUAGCACACGGUAUGUUUUAUUUUGUCCUAAGAGACAUGGCCAUUCUGUAAAAACUAGAUUCUCCACGAAGAGAAAACCAAAAUACUUAAUAGGCUGGACUCCCAGUACUGGAAACUGCCAUCACCGAGCCCACUGGUGCAAUCCUGCUGUGAUGUCUGUGCCCACCAUCCUGAUCUGUUGAGGUCCUAGAUGGAGCUCCGCACUGACCUGCAUGCAAUGCAAGCGUGCUUCCAGCCUUUGGCAGCCUUUCAGCAAUGAGAUUGCACCUGCGUCUUGUGAAAGUCACAUUGCACCUCUCAGGAGUAAUGCUGAAUCCUUAAGGUGGCACUGUGUGUACCAGCACUGAUGUUCUGCAAGGACUAGAAGAAACUUCUGAGGGAAGCACACUGGUCAAGGCUGCCAUGUAUGGAACUGUGAGUAUGAAGACAGACCAGGGCACCAGACCACCUGCAAUAGCAAUGAUCAGUUCCAUGGAGAAAGCUUGGAGAAAGCUGUUCCAUAGAAACUUUUAGAUGAACACUCAAUGAAAAGAAAGUCAUCUUGCUCCUCAGUGUGACUGCAUGAAAAUCUACUGGGACAAGUUCACAUGAAUAACUGGCACAGAGGCAAGCAUGGAUCGUAAUUUUAUGUGUUCUUAAGUGGCUUAGCUUUUCUGGUGCAACUUUGUUUUGGGAUCAGUGCUCAGUAAUAUGUAUAGGUCUCUACAUUUGCUUGAAAAGCCUCAUGUUACAUUACUGAAACAACAGGCAAAAGACUCACUGACAAUAGCUUUAUUCAACCUUGCUGAAAAUGUUAAGUCCUGUAACAAUAAAGGCUUAACUGUUCUACAGGCUGGCCAACUGGUCUUUGCAUACUACAGGAAACAAUUGCAGGCAUUUAGCAUUUCAGGACAUAUAAGCCAGAACUACUCAGGGAUGCAGGAUGUGAAUAUAUACCCCUGGUGCUUCCACGCUGUUUGUGGAAUGGCAGAAAAGCACAUUCCAUUAGUCCAUGUUGGCAACCUCAUCUUGGAAAAUUACAUAUAUUGCAGAAAUUUCAGUUUUGUUUUCAUACAUUCAGGUGAGACUGAUGAGAUUGUUUCACAUACUGUUUAUUUGCACCUGUAGUCAUUUGGGAUUCCUGAAUGGCUCAUGCUUGUAAAUUUUGUACUUAAAGAUGGUGUAAAAUAAAUCAUAACCUGGACAGGGAGAAAA